rnacentral:rRNA from 1 species
GCAAGGCGAGGGUUUGAUUUCGGUUGAGCCCGCCGUACGGGUGCGUAACGCGUAUGCAAUCUACCUUUAACAGGGGGAUAAUCCAUGGAAACGUGGUCUAAUACCCUAUGUGAUAUGAGACAGGCAUCUGUUUUAUAUUAAAGGAGCGAUCUGGUUAAAGAUGGGCAUGCGUCCGAUUAGCUGGUUGGUAGGGUAACGGCCUACCAAGGCGACGAUCGGUAGGGGAGCUGAGAGGUUUGUCCCCCACACGGACACUGAGACACGGGUCCGACUCCUACGGGAGGCAGCAGUAGGGAAUAUUGGGCAAUGGGUGGAAGCCUGACCCAGCCAUCCCGCGUGCCGGAAGAAUGCCCUCAGGGUUGUAAACGGCUUUUGACGGGGAAGAACGGUACCUUUGCGAAGGUAAUUGACGGUACCCGUUGAAUAAGCACCGGCUAACUCCGUGCCAGCAGCCGCGGUAAUACGGAGGGUGCGAGCGUUGUCCGGAUUUAUUGGGUUUAAAGGGUGCGUAGGCGGGAUUAUAAGUCAGUGGUGAAAGACUUACGCUCAACGUAAGCAGUGCCAUAGAAACUGUAGUUCUUGGAUAAGGAGGAGGUUGCCGGAACGGAUGGUGUAGCGGUGAAAUGCAUAGAUAUCAUCCAGAACGCCGAUUGCGAAGGCAGGUGACUGUACCUUAAUCGACGCUGAUGCACGAAAGCAUGGGUAGCGAACAGGAUUAGAUACCCUGGUA